rnacentral:rRNA from 1 species
AUUGAACGCUGGCGGCAUGCCUUACACAUGCAAGUCGAACGGCAGCGGGGGAGAAGCUUGCUUUUCCUGCCGGCGAGUGGCGAACGGGUGAGUAAUACAUCGGAGCGUGCCCUGUAGUGGGGGAUAACUAGUCGAAAGAUUAGUUAAUACCGCAUACGACCUGAGGGUGAAAGUGGGGGACCGCAAGGCCUCAUGCUAUAGGAGCGGCCGAUGUCUGAUUAGCUAGUUGGUGGGGUAAAGGCCUACCAAGGCGACGAUCAGUAGCUGGUCUGAGAGGACGAUCAGCCACACUGGGACUGAGACACGGCCCAGACUCCUACGGGAGGCAGCAGUGGGGAAUUUUGGGCAAUGGGCGAAAGCCUGAUCCAGCAAUGCCGCGUGUGUGAAGAAGGCCUUCGGGUUGUAAAGCACUUUUGUCCGGAAAGAAAUGGCUCUGGUUAAUACCUGGGGUCGAUGACGGUACCGGAAGAAUAAGGACCGGCUAACUACGUGCCAGCCGCCGCAGUAA